CCUACGGGUGGCAGCAGUAGGGAAUCUUGCACAAUGGGCGAAAGCCUGAUGGAGCAACGCCGCGUGAGUGAAGAAGGUUUUCGGAUCGUAAAACCUUUUUGUUAGAGAAAAAAAUGCGGGUGAGUAACUGUUCAUGUUUGGACCGUAUCUAACCAGAAAGCCACGGUUAACUACGGGCGAGCAGCCGCGGUAAAACGGAGGGGGCAAACGUUAUCCGGAUUUAUUGGGCGUAAAGGGAACGCAGGCGGUCUUUGAAGUCUGAUGUGAAAGCCUUCGGCUUAACCGGAGUAGUGCAUUUGAAACUGGGGGGCUGGAGUGCGGUAGAGGAAGGUGGAACUCCAGGUGUAGCGGUGAAAUGCGUAGAUAUAUGGAAGAACAACAGUGGCGAAAGCGGCUUGCUGGUCUGUAACUGACGCUGAGGUACGAAAGCGUGGGUAGCAAACAGGAUUAGAUACCCCUGUAGUC
rnacentral:rRNA from 1 species